GACGAACGCUGGCGGCGUGCUUAACACAUGCAAGUCGAACGGUAAGGCCCUUCGGGGUACACGAGUGGCGAACGGGUGAGUAACACGUGGGUGAUCUGCCCUGCACUUCGGGAUAAGCCUGGGAAACUGGGUCUAAUACCGGAUAGGACCACUGCCUGCAAGGGGGGUGUUGGCAAGCUUUUGCGGUGUGGGAUGGGCCCGCGGCCUAUCAGCUUGUUGGUGGGGUGAUGGCCUACCAAGACGACGACGGGUAGCCGGCCGGAGAGGGUGACCGGCCACACUGGGACUGAGAUACGGACCAGACGCCUACGGGAGGCAGCAGUGGGGAAUAUUGCACAAUGGGCGCAAGCCUGAUGCAGCGACGCCGCGUGAGGGAUGACGGCCUUCGGGUUGUAAACCUCUUUCAGCACCGACGAAGCGCAAGUGACGGUAGGUGCAGAAGAAGGACCGGCCAACUACGUGCCAGCCGCCGCCGUAA
rnacentral:rRNA from 1 species